rnacentral:rRNA from 1 species
CGAAGGCGGGUCUCUGGGCCGUUACUGACGCUGAGGAGCGAAAGCGUGGGGAGCGAACAGGAUUAGAUACCCUGGUAGUNCACGCCGUAAACGUUGGGCACUAGGUGUGGGGGGCCUUUCCGGNUCUUCCGCGCCGUAGCUAACGCAUUAAGUGCCCCGCCUGGGGAGUACGGCCGCAAGGCUAAAACUCAAAGGAAUUGACGGGGGCCCGCACAAGCGGCGGAGCAUGCGGAUUAAUUCGAUGCAACGCGAAGAACCUUACCAAGGCUUGACAUGUGCCGGUCUGCUCCGGAGACGGGGUUUCCUCCCUUGUGGGGGCUGGUUCACAGGUGGUGCAUGGUUGUCGUCAGCUCGUGUCGUGAGAUNNNNNNANAANNNNNNNCAACGAGCGCAACCCUCGUCUCGUGUUGCCAGCACGUUGUGGUGGGGACUCGCGGGAGACUGCCGGGGUCAACUCGGAGGAAGGUGGGGAUGACGUCAAAUCAUCAUGCCCCUUAUGUCUUGGGCUUCACGCAUGCUACAAUGGCCGGUACAGAGGACUGCGAUACCGUGAGGUGGAGCGAAUCCCUUAAAGCCGGUCUCAGUUCGGAUCGGUGUCUGCAACUCGACACCGUGAAGUUGGAGUCGCUAGUAAUCGCAGAUCAGCAACGCUGCGGUGAAUACGUUNU